CAGAGAGUUAGGGUUUUAGGGCUCGUGGCAAUGCGGGACGCGAUCUGGGCUUCUCUCGGAGAUUCCUCCGCUUGAGCAGGAGGUUCCGCUAGAGCUCUGGAGGGAUUUGGGACGCUGUCUAGGCCACGAAGCGAGUGACGUAAUUUAGUCGAAGUCGUUGAUCUCUUUUUGGACCAAAGGAGAGACGCUAUCCAAUUUUAUUGGUGUUGUGGAUGUCUAUCUCGACUGUGAUGGAGAUUCGAUUAUUACUUGGGAAAGCCUGACCGGCCUACUUGUCACACAGGAGCUGGUUGACUUAAGUUAGUAUUAUUAACAAGAACUUGAGAUCAAUCAGUAAUUUUUCUCAUACGUGCUACAUUGAUAUCCUCCUGGUUUAUGUAAACUGACAAUAUCGUUCUUCUUCUUCCACUGAUAUAU